UCUAUUAUGGCAGAAUAGUGCGAUGGUCUUAAACUCCAUAUAUAAAGUUUUACUUUUUUUAGAA
rnacentral:tRNA from 2 species